GAUGAACGCUGGCGGCGCGCCUAACACAUGCAAGUCGAACGGCACCUAUCUUCGGAUAGAAGCGAGUGGCGAACGGCUGAGUAACACGUGGAGAACCUGCCCCCUCCCCCGGGAUAGCCGCCCGAAAGGACGGGUAAUACCGGAUACCCCGGGGUGCCGCAUGGCGCCCCGGCUAAAGCCCCGACGGGAGGGGAUGGCUCCGCGGCCCAUCAGGUAGACGGCGGGGUGACGGCCCACCGUGCCGACAACGGGUAGCCGGGUUGAGAGACCGACCGGCCAGAUUGGGACUGAGACACGGCCCAGACUCCUACGGGAGGCAGCAGUGGGGAAUCUUGCGCAAUGGGGGGAACCCUGACGCAGCGACGCCGCGUGCGGGACGGAGGCCUUCGGGUCGUAAACCGCUUUCAGCAGGGAAGAGUCAAGACUGUACCUGCAGAAGAAGCCCCGGCUAACUACGUGCCAGCAGCCGCGGUAAUACGUAGGGGGCGAGCGUUAUCCGGAUUCAUUGGGCGUAAAGCGCGCGUAGGCGGCCCGGCAGGCCGGGGGUCGAAGCGGGGGGCUCAACCCCCCGAAGCCCCCGGAACCUCCGCGGCUUGGGUCCGGUAGGGGAGGGUGGAACACCCGGUGUAGCGGUGGAAUGCGCAGAUAUCGGGUGGAACACCGGUGGCGAAGGCGGCCCUCUGGGCCGAGACCGACGCUGAGGCGCGAAAGCUGGGGGAGCGAACAGGAUUAGAUACCCUGGUAGUCCCAGCCGUAAACAAUGGACGCUUGGGGGGGGGGGGGGAUCCCCCCCCUGCCGCAGCCAACACAUAAAGAGUCCCGCCUGGGGAGUACGGCCGCAAGGCUAAAACUCAAAGGAAUUGACGGGGGCCCGCACAAGCAGCGGAGCAUGUGGUUUAAUUCGAAGCAACGCGAAGAACCUUACCAGGGCUUGACAUAUGGGUGAAGCGGGGGAGACCCCGUGGCCGAGAGGAGCCCAUACAGGUGGUGCAUGGCUGUCGUCAGCUCGUGUCGUGAGAUGUUGGGUUAAGUCCCGCAACGAGCGCAACCCCCGCCGCGUGUUGCCAUCGGGUGAUGCCGGGAACCCACGCGGGACCGCCGCCGUCAAGGCGGAGGAGGGCGGGGACGACGUCAAGUCAUCAUGCCCCUUAUGCCCUGGGCUGCACACGUGCUACAAUGGCCGGUACAGAGGGAUGCCACCCCGCGAGGGGGAGCGGAUCCCGGAAAGCCGGCCCCAGUUCGGAUUGGGGGGUGCAACCCGCCCCCACGAAGUCGGAGUUGCUAGUAAUCGCGGAUCAGCAUGCCGCGGUGAAUGAAUUGCCGGGCCUUGCACA
rnacentral:rRNA from 1 species